rnacentral:rRNA from 1 species
AAACCAACAGGGAUUGCCUUAGUAACGGCGAGUGAAGCGGCAAAAGCUCAAAUUUGAAAUCUAGUACCUUCGGUGCUCGAGUUGUAAUUUGUAGAGGGAUACUUUGGGGCCGUUCCUUGUCUAUGUUCCUUGGAACAGGACGUCAUAGAGGGUGAGAAUCCCGUGUGGCGAGGAGUGCGGUUCUAUGUAAAGUGCCUUCGAAGAGUCGAGUUGUUUGGGAAUGCAGCUCUAAGUGGGUGGUAAAUUCCAUCUAAAGCUAAAUAUUGGCGAGAGACCGAUAGCGAACAAGUACAGUGAUGGAAAGAUGAAAAGAACUUUGAAAAGAGAGUGAAAAAGUACGUGAAAUUGUUGAAAGGGAAGGGCAUUUGAUCAGACAUGGUGUUUUGCGCCCUCCGCUCCUUGUGGGUGGGGGACUCUCGCAGCUCACUGGGCCAACAUCAGUUUUGGUGGUCGGACAAAUCCGUAGGAAUGUAGCUUACCUCGGUAAGUGUUAUAGCCUGCGGGAAUACGGCCAGCCGGGACUGAGGACUGCGACUUUUGUCAAGGAUGUUGGCAUAAUGGUUAUAUGCCGC